CCACCACCAAAGCAUUCUCUGGUGUUGAAGGCCCUGCAAAGCAGCAUCGCGGUGGCGGAGCGUCGUUUGCGACGCCCAACACACAAAACAAGCGGUGAGUGCUUUGGGGUGGGGUGACUGCGUACCUUUUGUAUAAUGGGUCAGCGACUUAUAUUCUGUAGCAAGGUUAACCGAAUAGGGGAGCCGGAGGGAAACCGAGUCUUAAUUGGGCGUUAAGUUGCAGGGUAUAGACCCGAAACCCGGUGAUCUAGCCAUGGGCAGGUUGAAGGUUGGGUAACACUAACUGGAGGACCGAACCGACUAAUGUUGAAAAAUUAGCGGAUGACCUGUGGCUGGGGGUGAAAGGCCAAUCAAACCGGGAGAUAGCUGGUUCUCCCCGAAAGCUAUUUAGGUAGCGCCUCGUGAAUUCAUCUCCGGGGGUAGAGCACUGUUUCGGCUAGGGGGCCAUCCCGGCUUACCAACCCGAUGCAAACUGCGAAUACCGGAGAAUGUUAUCACGGGAGACACACGGCGGGUGCUAACGUCCGUCGUGAAGAGGGAAACAACCCAGACCGCCAGCUAAGGUCCCAAAGUCAUGGUUAAGUGGGAAACGAUGUGGGAAGGCCCAGACAGCCAGGAUGUUGGCUUAGAAGCAGCCAUCAUUUAAAGAAAGCGUAAUAGCUCACUGGUCGAGUCGGCCUGCGCGGAAGAUGUAACGGGGCUAAACCAUGCACCGAAGCUGCGGCAGCGACGCUGAUGCGUUGUUGGGUAGGGGAGCGUUCUGUAAGCCUGUGAAGGUGGCCUGUGAGGGUUGCUGGAGGUAUCAGAAGUGCGAAUGCUGACAUAAGUAACGAUAAAGCGGGUGAAAAGCCCGCUCGCCGGAAGACCAAGGGUUCCUGUCCAACGUUAAUCGGGGCAGGGUGAGUCGACCCCUAAGGCGAGGCCGAAAGGCGUAGUCGAUGGGAAACGGGUUAAUAUUCCCGUACUUGGUGUUACUGCGAAGGGGGGACGGAGAAGGCUAUGUUGGCCGGGCGACGGUUGUCCCGGUUUAAGCGUGUAGGUGUGUGUUCCAGGUAAAUCCGGUUCACUUUAACACUGAGGCGUGAUGACGAGGCACUACGGUGCUGAAGCAACAAAUGCCCUGCUUCCAGGAAAAGCCUCUAAGCAUCAGGUAACAUCAAAUCGUACCCCAAACCGACACAGGUGGUCAGGUAGAGAAUACCAAGGCGCUUGAGAGAACUCGGGUGAAGGAACUAGGCAAAAUGGUGCCGUAACUUCGGGAGAAGGCACGCUGACAC
rnacentral:rRNA from 1 species